AAGACUAUACUUUCAGGGAUCAUUUCUAUAGUUCGUUACAUUAACGCAGACUUCCUUGCUGACCUCUUGUAUUUAAAACAAUGAUGAAUUGA
ensembl:snoRNA U3 Small nucleolar RNA U3